rnacentral:rRNA from 1 species
ACAGCAUGACACACUGCAUAUCAAUAAGCGGAGGAAAAGAAACUAACAAGGAUUCCCUUAGUAACGGCGAGUGAAGCGGGAAGAGCUCAAAUUUGAAAUCUUCAAGGUUUUACCUUGACGAAUUGUAGUUUAAAGAAGUGUUUUCUGUUGAAGUUUUGGUAAAAGUUCUUUGGAAUAGGACAUCAUAGAGGGUGAGAAUCCCGUAUUUGGAUCCAUUAUUUUCUAGCUGUGUGAUACACUUUCAAAGAGUCGGAUUGUUUGGGAAUGCAGUCCAAAAUGGGUGGUAAAUUUCAUCUAAAGCUAAAUAUUGGCGAGAGACCGAUAGCGAACAAGUACCGUGAGGGAAAGAUGAAAAGAACUUUGAAAAGAGAGUUAAACAGUACGUGAAAUUGUCAAAAGGGAAGCGUUUGACACCAGUGUUGUUUUUCCGAAAAUCAAUUACGAAUGUUUUGUUUUUGAGAAGUUAUGACUUCAUCGGCUUGCUUCUCUCUUUACGAAACUUUCUUAAUGCACUUUUCGGUUAACAAGUCAACAUCAAUUUCUUUUGUUGUAAAAGGGUAUGAGGAAGGUGGCUUUCUUUUCGGAGAAAGUGUUUAUAGCCUUGUACCUCUGCAAUCGGAGAGAUUGAGGUCUGCAGCGUAGAUCCUUCGGGGUUAGAUACAUUUGUGCUAAGUUAUAGCUUUUCAUAGACAACUUGUUGACUAUGUUAAGUCUUGUAGCUUACUCGCUUAUGCUAUUUUACCUACGCUUAGGAUGUUGAGCGCAUGUCUCUCUCU